rnacentral:misc_RNA from 1 species
ACUCCUGUCACAUCAGGUAAAAAUACAGUCAAAUUUAACAAAUGUAGGGAUAAUGACUAUCAUACUUUCUAGAUUAGUUUUUGCGAUUAAAUCUUAAGGGACAUUUGGUACGGGGUUAACAAAAGGUAAUUAUUAUUCUUGUAACUUUUAACUCCUUAUUAAUAUUGUUUAAAUACUUUAAGAGAAUAUAUUAACUUUUCACGUCAUUAAUAUUUAUAUUCUUUUAAGAGUUUAAAUGUUAAUCUUUGGGGGACUAGAUUAAUAGUUGCCCUCUUUAAAGUCAAAACUUACAAGGGUAACAUUUAACCCUUUAUUUUUAAAUCUUCUACCAAAUGCAUCAUUAGUUGAGUUGAGUACAAUCUCUGGGGAAUUCUAAGGUUGCAUUGUUUUCAACAAAUUAAAUCCAACUUUGUAAAUAACCAUAUCUGGAUAAAUUAGUAAUGGCUCACCUAAUGGUAAAAGCAACAUAGCAUAAAGAAAGUGUAUGAAAAACGGUCCACACAGUAAACACCCUAAAAAUAAUAUCACUGACUUCAUGUUUUAUUGAUAGUUUCUAACA